rnacentral:rRNA from 1 species
CCUACGGGAGGCAGCAGUGGGGAAUAUUGCGCAAUGGGCGAAAGCCUGACGCAGCGACGCCGCGUGAGGGAUGAAGGUCUUCGGAUCGUAAACCUCUGUCAGCAGGGAAGAACGGUCACUGUGCUAAUCAGCAGUGAAUUGACGGUACCUGCAAAGGAAGCACCGGCUAACUCCGUGCCAGCAGCCGCGGUAAUACGGAGGGUGCGAGCGUUAAUCGGAAUUACUGGGCGUAAAGCGCACGUAGGCGGUAAGUUAAGUCGAGGGUGAAAUCCCCGCGCGUAACGUGGGAACUGCCUUUCAAACUGGCAAACUUGAGUGUGUGAGAGGAUAGUGGAAUUCCAGGUGUAGGAGUGAAAUCCGUAGAUAUCUGGAGGAACAUCAGUGGCGAAGGCGACUAUCUGGCACAUAACUGACGCUGAGGAGCGAAAGCGUGGGUAGCAAACAGGAUUAGAUACCCUGGUAGUC